AUGUAUUUGUUGUUGUUAUUGGAACCAGGCAGGACUACUAUUUGUUGGCUGAGUGGAAUAUUGUUGUUGUUAUUGGAGACAGGCAGGAGUAUUGUUGUUGUUAUUGGAGACAGGCAGUAUUGUUGUUAUUGGAGACAGGAGUAUUGUUGUUGUUGUUAUUGGAGACAGGCAGGAGUAUUGUUGUUGUUGUUAUUGGAGACAGGCAGGAGUAUUGUUGUUGUUAUUGGAGACAGGCAGGAGUAUUGUUGUUGUUGUUGGAGGCAGAGUGUGCUGCUGUUUGUGGAACCAGGGCAGGACUACUGUUGUUGUGGAGACAGGAGUAUUGUUGUUUGUUGUUGGAGACCAGCUAGGAAA
rnacentral:lncRNA from 1 species